GGCCGGGGGCGUGGGGUGCUCGGCCCUGCCGCUAGCCGCUGCACCGAGGGCUAGCGGCCGCCAGCGCCGGAGGACGCGGGGUAUUGGGCAGAGCUCCGGACUCCAGCGCCCGAACGCCCGAACGCCCGACAGCGCUCUGGGAAGCUCCCAGGGCCUCACUCGAACCACGGGCCCUGACGCUCCUGAAGUUGCACACGGAGAUUCAAGUGCAUGGAAAGUGGGAUGUUUUCUUAAUAAAAGGCCCAGAAACCCUUCAGGGCCAAGGGAGCUGAAUAAGAACCAGAGCCUGGAUUCGGGAAGCUAAGGUUUCUUGAAAAUGUUUAUGGAUGGCGCGGGGCUGUGGCUUCAGGUCUGGGAACAUCCAAGGCACAGCCACUUCCUUCAGGGAACUCGGUCCCACCAGGGAAACACAAAGUCACAACCUCAUUGGAGCCUGACACAUCCGCUGCAUGUAAUUAAUGUCUUACAAGAGAAAAGUGAAGCGAAGACAGCGUGCAUGCCGGGUUCCAAGGCGACCUGCCCAACACCCUGGUCACCAUCCCAGCCACAGGAGGCGGAAGCUGCCGGCAAUUUAAGGAUCUGCUGACUCCACUCCCACAAUUCAUCCUUGGGAGAUUCCCCAAGGCCAACAAGAGCUACUCAAGAGGGUGCCUGCUGCUGGUAUAUUAGAAGACAGUAUGGUCGGUGGACAGUGUGGCUCGUUUUAAAUGAUCUGUAUGUGACCAGAAGGAAACAGACCAACUGCUAACAAGUCUUUUCUAUAAGCACCCAGAUUAAGUGGGUUUUGUAUUUUUGUCUAAUUUUUAUGUUCUUCAGGCUUUCUAGCACAAGUAGACAGUUGAUAAAGCUCAAACGUCAUUUUAAAUGGUCUUUAAAGGAGUCUAUAGAAACAAUUUGCUGUCUCCUGAGAAUAUCAUCCUGAAAAGUAUAUGUAUUAUGGCCAUAAGUGAACCAUGUUGUGUGCAAAACCAUGUUGUGUGCAAAAGCCCACAGUGAAAUGACGAACCGGAAAAUAUCUGUGAAAAACUCUUUGUCUCUUCUACAUUGUAAAACUCAGAAGAGCAACUGGGCCAACUGCUUUUCUGUUCUCCAUUUUUAUUAUCCAGAUGGUGCUGUGUCCUUCCACUGGCUGCUUCGUUCUUGAAGAUUACGGAGCAAGCCACUAGCAGAAGCAAUAAUGACAUUAGUGCAUCUUUCCACUGGAUUGUCAUGUCUCUUUUGAAGAAGAAAAAGUACAAGCUUUAUGCUGGAUUCAUCCCCCUCACUUCUGUCUUCAAGUCAAGAUAAAAUGCUGACAAUGAGCUAGAACAGAUGACGCGCUCGAAAUGGCUGAGAAGUCAUUAACUAGCAAAAAAUGAGUUCAAAGGACAGGAAGAAACAACUUGUUAUGGAUUGAGAGACAGGAGACAGGACUUUCACUUUCCACAAGUAACUUUCUUCCCUGGCCUCAGGCUCUCUUGAAAAAACAACCUAUAACUAAUUCUUGGGGAAGGGGGGUGCCUUUGGGUGGAAGAACAAUUUGCUCAAACUUGGAAAACACAAAUGGUCAUUUAAACUCUCAAUAUCCAAAGAUUCAAAGAACCCAGGAUGGGGCAAAAAAGCAGCUUAGAGGGGCUUCUUCCUUUUUCAAUGCCAUUUGCCCAAACUCUAGUCAGUCACAGCUCUACUGGAGACACUGGACCUCCUUGGCCUUCCCGGGGCCAUUUUUCUUCCUGGUCUUUUGGAUCAAGACAUUUCCACUUUGUUUAAUAAAUUUGUAGCUGUUGGGUGUGACCACGGGCUAAACUCCUGCUCAUCUCUCAAGUCUUGGCUCCAAUGCCCCUUCCUCCAAGAGCUCCACCUUGAUAAGUCAGAUCAAGGUCAUGGGAGCUAUGUGCUCCCCUCACAGAAUCCAGUACUUGGCUUAAUUCUCAUUCAUUCACCUGACAAGUGUUUCCGGCACUGAUGUGUGCAGUGUACUGGGGAUGGUUCCAGUGCUGGAGUGUUGUGGGAAUAAGAUCAAGCCCCUGCCUUCCUGGGCUGAGAGUAUUGGGACAACAGAAAAGAAAUACCUGUAUUUUAUUAUCAAUAAGUGCUAUGGAGAAAAGACAAGACAAGGAGACAGAGGGGUCGAGGGUGAUGCUGAUUGAAAUGGAACAAUCAGGGAAGGCUUCUCUAAGAAGAGUAUCCACUUCCCUUUGCUGCUACCCAAGUGCCUGCCUGCCUUCAGAUACCUCCGGAAUUGGUCUGCUGUCAAGCCAUGCCUGCUCCAGCCCCUGGCCUUGGACUCUUGUGUGCUACAAGAUUCCACAGUUGAUGGCAGGCACGGUGGCACAUCCCACCAAUUCUAGCAGCUCAGGAGGCUGAGGCAAGAGGAUAGCAAGUUCAAAACCAGCCUCAGUGACUCGGGGAGACCCUGUCUCUAAGUAAAAUAUAAAAAAAGGCUGGGAACGUGGCUCAGUGGUUAAGCACCCUUGGGUUCAAUCCUAAUCCCGGGUACCAAAAAAAAAGAUUCCACAGUGGCCAUUCUGGGAGUGGCCCUUCAGGGGACCCCAGCGCUCCAACUCUGAAACCAUGUGAGCCCACCAGGGUGGACAGACAGCAACUGUGUUAUGAAAUCAUACAAUCACAUUCUUGGAUCAGGCUUGGUAAUCUCUCAGCCCCCAGAAAGGGAAGGACAGCACCCUCACUCCAACACGCCCUCCAGGACCUGCAGGCAGGAGCCACGGGGCUUCCAGCUUGCAGGACUGUGCUGGUGGCAGCUGAGCACAUUUGCUCUGAACGUCUGCCAGCAGCUGCCACUCUCCAGCACUUGUGACAACAGCCCUGAUUCUGUGUGUUUGUAAGUUACAAUUCUGCUUGCAUUUCACUGCUCCACAGCCCCAGAGCACUUUAUGUUCCAUGCCUUGUCACAGUGGCAGUCAGCCACAGUCACUUCCCUCUGUCACAGAUGCUGAACAUAGAACUCAAAUGCAAGCCACAGACUCACCAAGACUUACAUAUAUUUCAUUUUUUAUUACCAAUCAAAAAUAAAUUCCGUAUAUUGUUUAGCAAA